rnacentral:tRNA from 1 species
GGAGGAGUUCCCGAGUGGCCAAAGGGAACAGACUGUAAAUCUGUCGUCAGUGACUUCGGUGGUUCGAAUCCACCCUCCUCCACCA